GGGCCUAUAGCUUAGUGGACCAGAGCAAACGGCUUCGGACCGUUAGAUCGGGGGUUCGAGUCCCUCUAGGCCCG
rnacentral:tRNA from 2 species